GGCAAUAUGGUCCAAUGGUCAGGGCACCAGACUGGUAAUCAGGAGACCAGGGCUCUGUUCCCA
rnacentral:tRNA from 1 species